rnacentral:rRNA from 1 species
AUUGAACGCUGGCGGCAGGCCUAACACAUGCAAGUCGAACGAGUGGCGGACGGGUGAGUAAUGUCUGGGAAACUGCCCGCUGGAGGGGGAUAACUACUGGAAACGGUAGCUAAUACCGCAUACCCUCGUAUGUGCCCAGAUGGGAUUAGCUAGUCGGUGGGGUAAUGGCUCACCUAGGCGUAGAUCCCUAGCUGGUCUGAGAGGAAGACCAGCAACACUGGAAGUGAGAAACGGUCCAGACGCCUACGGAGGGCAGCAGUGGGGAAUAUUGCACAAUGGGCGCAAGCCUGAUGCAGCCAUGCCGCGUGUAUGAAGAAGGCCUUCGGGUUGUAAAGUACUUUCAGCGAGGAGGCGUUACUCGCAGAAGAAGCACCGGCUAACUCCGUGCCAGCAGCCGCGGUAAUAC